rnacentral:rRNA from 1 species
UACGGGAGGCAGCAGUGGGGAAUAUUGCACAAUGGGCGCAAGCCUGAUGCAGCCAUGCCGCGUGUAUGAAGAAGGCCUUCGGGUUGUAAAGUACUUUCAGUCGUGAGGAAGGUGUUAAGGUUAAUAACCUUAGCAAUUGACGUUAGCGACAGAAGAAGCACCGGCUAACUCCGUGCCAGCAGCCGCGGUAAUACGGAGGGUGCGAGCGUUAAUCGGAAUUACUGGGCGUAAAGGGCACGCAGGCGGUUAAUUAAGUUGGAUGUGAAAUCCCCGGGCUUAACCUGGGAAUGGCAUUCAAGACUGGUUAGCUAGAGUCUUGUAGAGGGGGUAGAAUUCCAUGUGUAGCGGUGAAAUGCGUAGAGAUGUGGAGGAAUACCGGUGGCGAAGGCGGCCCCUGGACAAAGACUGACGCUCAUGUGCGAAAGCGUGGGGAGCAAAACAGGGAUUAGAUACC